GAGAACUGCACAACGAAGCAAACUAUGUGUGAGGUUAUUUGUCUAUACUCUUGACUGUCAUAAGGAUAAAGUGUCACAUCUGAUUUAUUCCGAAUCUGAAAAUUCCAUUCAUUAAGUCGUGCCAUCGGUAUGAGUAACUCUGAAGCAAUAAAGCACUUGUUAUCUCACCAUUUUCUGGAAUUAGGCUGAAGGAAAGAAUCUAAUCAUAGACAAAUCCAACGAAUAACACACAAAACAAAAAAAUCUAUAAAGUAAGUCUAGAUUUUAGUAAAGAGUGUUGAAUCUUGUUACUUAAACGAUCCGAUUUCCAACAACGCUCCUAGCGAUCGACAUCUUUGUAUGGUUUCCUCGUCUAUAGCAGUGAUCGAAGCAGACGCUCUCGGGACGCCGAAGGAGAAGGACGUGAACAUGGUGUGGGGAUUUGUGACCUGCGGGCCCAACGAGGCCUUGGUCAUUUCAGGAUGUUGUUACCAAGGAAAACCUCUGACGGUAGUGGGAGGACGUGGAUUUGUAUGGCCAUGUAUACAAAUGAUGCAAAGGUAUUAUUGGUAAACCUAUAGUCAUAGUGGGCCAAUAAGGAGAGUCUGUGAUCAAGGCAUUAAUAUACGUGUAGUUCUCAAUGCGUCUUGACUUGUGGCGUGAGCAUAGUUGUUUAUCACUUUUGAGCCCCUAAUAGUCAGUCAUGCAAAGUAUUUCUUUCCGAAGGAGAACAAAAUUUGUUCAUGUGGCUUUACCUGUUUCCUUUUAUUUUGUGAUAUGUGAAGAUUUAUUUAUUAUCAUAAUUGGAAUUGUAUGGUACUGUGAUGUUUUAGAGUAUUGAACUACUCAUGGGGCUGGAUCCUUGUACAGAUUCUCUGUGGAGUUUCACCUGGUUUAGCACACCAAAUGACUGUAAUAUAGUGCUUUGCCUAUGUUUUUUUUCUUUCCUUCAUUAUUUACAUCUUUUAUGUCUUAGUAUUAGAAUGUUUUCCUGUUGGCUUUUUCCUUGGUUGUAGCUGCACUAGACAGACCAUAGUCUUGUCCACUAGGCACCAGUCAGAAGGCAUUGGGAAUGUUGUGUAUCUUUUGUGUGGCUUGAUUCAUUCAGUCUCCUCUAAGUUGUAAAAUCUUUGGUUUUACCUUCCAAGUUUUCUCACCAAAGAACAUUUCCAAACUUGGAUGUGUAAUAGUAUUGCUAAUCCAGUAAUGGAUUAAAGAUCAGAUUUUUAUGACAUCAUCUAUGUUAAAUCUGUUGAUAGAUCUGCUAUUUUAUUUAAAAAGUGAAACCUGCUUCAGAAUCAACUGAGGUUUUCCACUUAGGUUGUCAACUCAAUUUUACAGUAAUGUAGUUGAUGUCUUUGUCCUUCUUACAUCUAUUCUUUGAAUCUAGUCAAGAUCAAGAGUAUACAAUAUCCUUCAAUAUCCUUUAAUAUCCUUAUACUCAUUGCUUUUUAAUACUGCUAGGAUACUGUGGUAACACAAAAGGACUGCCUUUAGCCAGCUUCUGAAGAGCUCAUUUGCUACCCUGAGGUACGCUGUCCUUUCUGGGCACCACCUCAUACAGUUUUUUAUACCAAUAAAUGCAGCCAUCUUAAAGGACUCACAUAGGAACCUCCUUUGUUACUUUAUUAUUAUUACCAUUAACUCAUAUUUUUUCCUUCUUAAAACCUGAAACCUCUUUUGUCCCCUAAGCAGAUGUAAUGGGAGAUGUUUUUGAGAAAGUUAUCAGCAGCUAGCAGCUGAAGGAGAUCAGCAUUAUGUAAAAAAAGAAAGUAAUAAUAUUUCUGAGCAAGUGCAGAUAUGAUAAUGUAAUGGCUACAUUACAUAGUGAUAAAUUCUGUGAGAGGAUAAUGUAAUCACUUUCCCUAUUUAGUUGUUUUUGCCAAGAUAAUGCAUUACAGUGUGUAUGGUAGUAAACGUAUGCUUGAGCCUGCUCUUUGUAUGCUUAUGUAAAUGGAUGGAGAGAGACAUUUAUAAUCGGAUUCAUUUAUAUAUAGAGUAUUAACUCUGCCAAACUAUAAGUUAGAAAUUGCCUUAUUUGCAGAAAAGUGUUGCUGUUACGAAUUGUAGUAGGUGAUAGAAUUUUAUAAAUACUUCAAAAGCUGAAGUCUGUGAUUUACUAGUUUUGAGUAUGGAGGGGCCCAUAGAGGGGAUGUAGAAGCAGUGUUUUAGGUUGGAUUUCUAUUUUGAUAUAUAUUUAUAGUUCAUAGAUAUUAUGGACUAUGGUAGGAAGACUUUUCUCUUAACCCAUCCCCGACGGGGGGAAUUCUAGCCUUGAAUGUCCAAAUGCCGGGGCGUUCGAAUUAUUAGGCCUAAAUCAAUUGAAUGGCUGGCACAAUACUGUGCCGCCCGGCCACUGGGCUUUUGAAUGUGCGGUACACAUGCUGUACCACCCGUCCAGAGAGGGUUAAGCUGCCGUUAUCUUGGUGGUUAUUGCUAGGAAGAAAACCAUGAUGGAUAAGUAGAGGGGUGUCAGUUAAUAUUUGUUUUGUUAGGGCACAAAAGUUUUUGUUUUUGCUUUUAUUAGGAAGAGAGUGAGAAUUUUGUGUGUGUUUGUAUGCAGGUAUAUGCUAUAGAGUACAAAAUAUUUUUUUCUGGGGAUUUGCCAUCUUAUGCUGGAAAAAAAACACACCAAAAAACAUACAUUUUUGUGAUAAGUUGAGGCUGAUAUUGUAUUUUGAAAGAAUAUAUUGUACAUGGUUUACUUGUAUAAUUUUUAUGUUUUAAUAAUAAUAAGGAAAAUAUUUGUAUUUAUUACCAUUGUAUUUUGUUUGUUAUGAUUUUGUUUGUCUUUAGUAUCUAUUAUGUGCCUUUGGAACUGAAAGUAGUAGACUUUUAUAUUUUCUGUACAUCUUCUGCUGUCUCUUAUUCCUCUUUAUCUUCAAUUGAUCUAGCACUUUUUCCUGUUUUCUAAAAAUAUCUUAAAGAAACAUAUAUCCUGCAGGUCUAUAUAAUGAUUUGGGAAAGUUGUUGCUGAGUGUGUGAACAUUAGCAAUUCUUUAAGUAAGUGUUAUCCCUUACAGUAACAUCAACAGAAAUUGGAUGAAGGAGUUUUUUCCCAGAGGAUUGUUAUAUAGAUCUCAGUUGUCCUUCCACCUAUUGUAUAUGGAACACCAUGUGUGGAUGUAAUGUACAUACAGUGCAGUGGUGUGCUACAGGGAAAGGAAACUUCUAUAAGAGUUCUAUGUGGCUUUAUUUUCUUCUGUGUUAAGAUGUGGGAGUUCCUGCAGCAUUUCUAUACACAACUGUCAAGUUGACACCCUUCUUCUAGUGUGGGGAAAUGACAGACGUGUGUU
rnacentral:misc_RNA from 1 species